GAUGAACGCUGACAGAAGGCCUAACACAUGCAAGUCAACCUGUGGCGGACGGGCGAGUAACGCGGAAAGAACUUGACUCACAGCUAGGGACAACAUUUGGAAAGGAAAGCUAAUAUCUGAUACUGUGGGAGCGCUUUGCGUCCCAUUAGCUCAUUGGAGAGGUAACGGCUCACGAAGGCGAUGCUGGGUAGCCGGCCUGAGAGGGUGAUCGGCCACAAGGGGACUGAGGAACGGGCCUUACGCCUACGGGAGGCAGCAGUGGAGAAUUGAGAACGAUAGGCCAAAGUCUGAUCAAGCAAUUCUGGUUGCACGAUAAAGUUUUCGGGAUGUAAAGUGCUUUGAGUUGAGAAGCGGUACCAACAGAAGAAGUGACGGCUAAAUACGUGCCAGCAGCCGCGGUAAUAC
rnacentral:rRNA from 1 species